AUUCCCCUGCAGUGUACGUGAUUGGCAUUCAUUUUUGAGCCAACACCUUAGAACCGGGGAUCAUCAUUAUUUUCGCCGUGUGCGGCCGCGUAAGCCCUGUUUUUCAGGCGGCGGAAAGCCUGACGCGGAAAUAUGGAUUCCCACUUGGUCCCAAGGUUCAAAAAAGAUCGUCAACACGGCAUCAGUGGGGGUCAG
rnacentral:other from 1 species